rnacentral:rRNA from 1 species
GGGGAAUUUUGGACAAUGGGGGCAACCCUGAUCCAGCCAUGCCGCGUGAGUGAAGAAGGCCUUCGGGUUGUAAAGCUCUUUCGGCCGGGAAGAAAUCGCAUAGGUUAAUACCCUGUGUGGAUGACGGUACCGGAAUAAGAAGCACCGGCUAACUACGUGCCAGCAGCCGCGGUAAUACGUAGGGUGCGAGCGUUAAUCGGAAUUACUGGGCGUAAAGCGUGCGCAGGCGGUUUCGUAAGACAGAGGUGAAAUCCCCGGGCUCAACCUGGGAACUGCCUUUGUGACUGCGAAGCUAGAGUACGGCAGAGGGGGGUGGAAUUCCACGUGUAGCAGUGAAAUGCGUAGAGAUGUGGAGGAACACCGAUGGCGAAGGCAGCCCCCUGGGCCGAUACUGACGCUCAUGCACGAAAGCGUGGGUAGCAAACA